UACGAAGGGGGCUAGCGUUGCUCGGAAUCACUGGGCGUAAAGGGUGCGUAGGCGGGUCUUUAAGUCAGGGGUGAAAUCCUGGAGCUCAACUCCAGAACUGCCUUUGAUACUGAGGAUCUUGAGUUCGGGAGAGGUGAGUGGAACUGCGAGUGUAGAGGUGAAAUUCGUAGAUAUCGCAAGAACACCAGUGGCGAAGGCGGCUCACUGGCCCGAUACUGACGCUGAGGUGCGAAAGCGUGGGGAGCAAAGCAGG
rnacentral:rRNA from 1 species